CAAGCGGUGGAGCAUGUGGUUUAAUUCGAUGCAACGCGAAGAACCUUACCUACUCUUGACAUCCAGCGAACUUAGCAGAGAUGCUUUGGUGCCUUCGGGAACGCUGAGACAGGUGCUGCAUGGCUGUCGUCAGCUCGUGUUGUGAAAUGUUGGGUUAAGUCCCGCAACGAGCGCAACCCUUAUCCUUUGUUGCCAGCGAUUCGGUCGGGAACUCAAAGGAGACUGCCGGUGAUAAACCGGAGGAGGGUGGGGAUGACGUCAAGUCAUCAUGGCCCUUACGAGUAGGGCUACACACGUGCUACAAUGGCGCAUACAAAGAGAAGCGACCUCGCGAGAGCAAGCGGACCUCACAAAGUGCGUCGUAGUCCGGAUCGGAGUCUGCAACUCGACUCCGUGAAGUCGGAAUCGCUAGUAAUCGUGGAUCAGAAUGCCACGGUGAAUACGUUCCCGGGCCUUGUACACACC
rnacentral:rRNA from 1 species